rnacentral:misc_RNA from 1 species
GAAAUGCGAUAAGUAGUGUGAAUUGCAGAAUUCAGUGAAUCAUCGAAUCUUUGAACGCACAUUGCGCCCUAUGGUAUUCCGUAGGGCAUGCCUGUUCGAGCGUCAUUUACACCUUCAAGCCUUGCUUGGUGUUGGGUGACUGUGGCCCCUUUGGGGCCACUCGCCUUAAAGUCAUUGGCGGCCGGUUCGUUGGCUUUGUAGCGCAGCACAAUUGCGUCCUCGAAGCCGCUGGCCCAGCUCCCAGAAGCUAAUUUUAAAUGUUUGACCUCGAAUCAGGUAGGGAUACCCGCUGAACUUAAGC